CACCUGGUUGAUCCUGCCAGUAGUCAUAUGCUUGUCUCAAAGAUUAAGCCAUGCAUGUCUAAGUAUAAGCUUUAAACGGCGAAACUGCGAAUGGCUCAUUAAAACAGUUAUAGUUUAUUUGGUGAUCGAUUACUAUUUGGAUAACCGUAGUAAUUCUAGAGCUAAUACAUGCGUCAAGGCCCGACUUCGGAAGGGCUGCGUUUAUUAGAUACAGAACCAACCUAGGCUCCGCCUAGUCCUUGUUGGUGAUUCAUAAUAACCCGGCGAAUCGCACGGCUUGUCCGGCGAUGGACCAUUCAAGUUUCUGACCUAUCAGCUAUGGACGGUAGGGUAUUGGCCUACCGUGGCGUUGACGGGUAACGGGGAAUUAGGGUUCGAUUCCGGAGAGGGAGCCUGAGAAACGGCUACCACAUCUAAGGAAGGCAGCAGGCGCGCAAAUUACCCAAUCCUGAUACAGGGAGGUAGUGACAAGAAAUAACAAUACAGGGCAAUUCUGUCUUGUAAUUGGAAUGAGUAGAUUUUAAAUCUCUUUACGAGUAUCAAUUGGAGGGCAAGUCUGGUGCCAGCAGCCGCGGUAAUUCCAGCUCCAAUAGCGUAUAUUAAAGUUGUUGCGGUUAAAAAGCUCGUAGUUGGAUUUCUGCCUUGGGCGACCGAUCCACCUUUCCUACGGGAUUGGUUGGUAUCAGGUUUGACCUUGGCUUUUUCUUGGGAUUCGUGCUCACGUACUUAACUGUGCGUUGACCGUGUUCCAAGACUUUUACUUUGAGGAAAUUAGAGUGUUUCAAGCAGGCUUAUGCCAUGAAUACAUUAGCAUGGAAUAAUAGGAUAUGACUUCGGUCAUAUUUUGUUGGUUUCUAGGACUGAAGUAAUGAUUAAUAGGGACAGUCGGGGGCAUUCGUAUUUA
rnacentral:ncRNA from 1 species